GAUGAACGCUGGCGGCGUGCCUAAUACAUGCAAGUCGAGCGAGCAGAUGAGGAGCUUGCUCCUCUGACGUUAGCGGCGGACGGGUGAGUAACACGUGGAUAACCUACCUAUAAGACUGGGAUAACUUCGGGAAACCGGAGCUAAUACCGGAUAAUAUAUUGAACCGCAUGGUUCAAUAGUGAAAGACGGUUUUGCUGUCACUUAUAGAUGGAUCCGCGCCGCAUUAGCUAGUUGGUAAGGUAACGGCUUACCAAGGCAACGAUGCGGAGCCGACCUGAGAGCGUUAACGGACACAGUCGGACUGAUAGACAGCACAGAGUCCUACGGUAAGCAGCAGUGUAGAAUAUUGCACAAUUAGCGGAAGGCUAAUGCAAAAAAGCAGCGUGCUGGAUGACAGCCAUCGGGAAGUAAACCGCUAGCGACUGUGAAGAAGCGUGAGGCAAGGGAAUGGAUAGAGAGGCACGAGCAAAAGAGAUG
rnacentral:rRNA from 1 species